UACCAGCACCCCGAGUGGUCGGGGCGAUUAUUGGGCCUAAAGCAUCCGUAGCCGGUUUUACAAGUCCUCCGUUAAAUCCAGCUGCUUAACAGAUGGGCUGCGGAGGAUACUAUAAGACUAGGAGGCAGGAGAGGCAAGCGGUACUCAGUGGGUAGGGGUAAAAUCCGUUGAUCCAUUGAAGACCACCAGUGGCGAAGGCGGCUUGCCAGAACGCACUCGACGGUGAGGGAUGAAAGCUGGGGGAGCAAACCGG
rnacentral:rRNA from 1 species